rnacentral:rRNA from 1 species
AGCCCUUCGGGGUGGAUUAGUGGCGAACGGGUGAGUAACACGUGGGCAAUCUGCCCUUCACUCUGGGACAAGCCCUGGAAACGGGGUCUAAUACCGGAUAACACCGGCUUCCGCAUGGGAGCUGGUUAAAAGCUCCGGCGGUGAAGGAUGAGCCCGCGGCCUAUCAGCUUGUUGGUGGGGUAAUGGCCUACCAAGGCGACGACGGGUAGCCGGCCUGAGAGGGCGACCGGCCACACUGGGACUGAGACACGGCCCAGACUCCUACGGGAGGCAGCAGUGGGGAAUAUUGCACAAUGGGCGAAAGCCUGAUGCAGCGACGCCGCGUGAGGGAUGACGGCCUUCGGGUUGUAAACCUCUUUCAGCAGGGAAGAAGCGAAAGUGACGGUACCUGCAGAAGAAGCGCCGGCUAACUACGUGCCAGCAGCCGCGGUAAUACGUAGGGCGCAAGCGUUGUCCGGAAUUAUUGGGCGUAAAGAGCUCGUAGGCGGCUUGUCACGUCGGGUGUGAAAGCCCGGGGCUUAACCCCGGGUCUGCAUCCGAUACGGGCAGGCUAGAGUGUGGUAGGGGAGAUCGGAAUUCCUGGUGUAGCGGUGAAAUGCGCAGAUAUCAGGAGGAACACCGGUGGCGAAGGCGGAUCUCUGGGCCAUUACUGACGCUGAGGAGCGAAAGCGUGGGGAGCGAACAGGAUUAGAUACCCUGGUAGUCCACGCCGUAAACGUUGGGAACUAGGUGUUGGCGACAUUCCACGUCGUCGGUGCCGCAGCUAACGCAUUAAGUUCCCCGCCUGGGGA